rnacentral:rRNA from 1 species
AACGAACGCUGGCGGCAUGCCUAACACAUGCAAGUCGAACGAGACCUUCGGGUCUAGUGGCGCACGGGUGCGUAACGCGUGGGAACCUGCCCUUAGGUUCGGAAUAACUCACCGAAAGGGGUGCUCAUACCGGAUAAUGUCUUCGGACCACAGAUUUAACGCCUUUGGAUGGGCCCGCGUUGGAUUCGCUAGUUGGUAGGGUAAAAGCCUCUCAAGGCGACGAUCCAUAGCUGGGCUGAGAGGCUGAUCCGCCACACUGGGACUGAGAAACGGCCCAGACUCCUACGGGAGGGAGGCGAGGGGGAUACUGGAAUAUGGGGGAAAGGCUGAACCAGUUAGGGCGGGAGAGUGAUUUAGGUCUGAAGGUUGUAAAGCUGGUUUACCCGGGGGGAGAAUGACAGUACCGGGAGAAUAAGCUCCGGCUAACUCCGUG